rnacentral:rRNA from 1 species
UUUUCACAAGGCCGGGGAGCAUGUGGUUUAAUUCGAUGCAACGCGAAGAACCUUACCUACUCUUGACAUCCAGAGAACUUAGCAGAGAUGCUUUGGUGCCUUCGGGAACUCUGAGACAGGUGCUGCAUGGCUGUCGUCAGCUCGUGUUGUGAAAUGUUGGGUUAAGUCCCGCAACGAGCGCAACCCUUUUCCUUUGUUCCCAGCGGUCCGGCCGGGAACUCAAAGGAGACUGCCAGUGAUAAACUGGAGGAAGGUGGGGAUGACGUCAAGUCAUCAUGGCCCUUACGAGUAGGGCUACACACGUGCUACAAUGGCAUAUACAAAGAGAAGCGACCUCGCGAGAGCAAGCGGACCUCAUAAAGUAUGUCGUAGUCCGGAUUGGAGUCUGCAACUCGACUCCAGAAGUCGGAAUCGCUAGAUCGAACGUCU